rnacentral:rRNA from 1 species
UAACGAGCGCAACCCCUACCUUAGUUGCCAUCAGGUUAAGCUGGGGACGUCUAAAGGAACUGCCUACGCAAGUAGUGAGGAAGGCGGGGAGUGACGUCAAAUCAGCACGGCCCUUACGUCCAGGGCUACACACGUGCUACAAUGGCCGAUACAGAGGGCAGCUACCUGGUGACAGGAUGCAAAUCUCCAAAGUCGGUCUCAGUUCGGAUCGGAGUCUGCAACCCGACUCCGUGAAGUUGGAUUCGCUAGUAAUCGCGCAUCAGCCAUGGCGCGGUGAAUACGUUCCCGGGCCUU